AUAUCCCCACGUCGCUGUCUCUUUCCCAUGCCGGUCGCCGAUUCCUCCAGGAUAUGGCCGCCAGCCCGCCACAAGAUCUGCCUUCUCCACUAAUAUCCGGCACCGGAUCCAGCUUCCGCGGCCGGCACCUACCGCGGGGUCACACGCACAAGGCCAGUCACGCUGCGGCUAUACCACGACGCCGACGAGGAGCGAGGUUGGAUCACGCCAGCGGACGACGGAUCCACUGUCGUGGUCAUUGGGAUACCUACUCCGGCGAGGUUCCUCGAUCCCGACCACCCCAAUCCCGUCCAACAGCAUCCUUGUUGCCCCUGUAACCAUGCUCGCUGUUGGUGGAUCCGUGCAGCACGGGCACCACGAGGGGUCACCGGGCAUGGUGGUCGCCGGAUCCGGCGAAUCCAAGCCUAACCGUCACCAGAUCUGGUGAGUCAUGAAUCCAAUCUUCCCUAACCUUCCCUGUUUUGGUUUUAUUUUGCAUGAUUUAAACAUUCCUUAUUUCUUGACCAGAUUGUCGGCCUCCUCUGCUCCUCCAAUUUCUGUGAAACCAAGUUAUAUCUAUAUAUGUGUGUAUAGUUGAGCUGUGCAAUAUAUAUGAAAUUUAUAUUUCAAUGUGUUGUUGCAAGUUGUGAAACUAAUUUCUAUGAAAUAUAUGGAAUUUACUUCCUUGAAAUAUAUAUAUAUAUAUAACGCUAAACUAAGCGUGAGUGUAGAAUAGCUUAUUCUACACCCCAGUAACGGUACAUACAAAAUACAGUAACACAUUAUGUAAAAUAUAGUAAUUUUUGUAAAAAUGUAGUAAAUUACAAACUUAGAUGAUAAAAAAUACUCCGAAUUACUACAUUUUAUACACAGUUUUACUAGAUUUUGUACAUAGCAUUACUAGGGGGUGUAGAAUAAGCUAUUCUACACUCGUGCUUAAAAUAGCGU
rnacentral:lncRNA from 1 species